rnacentral:tRNA from 1 species
AAGACACUAGUAAAACUUAUUACCUUGCCUUGUCGAGGCAAAAUCGUGGGUUAAACCCCCGCGUGUCUUA